GCUGUUGGUCUUUUAAUAAUUUAGGAUAGCUAUAUAGCUAUAUAUAUACAUAUAUAUUACACAAAUUAGCUUUUUGUCUGUCAUGUAUGUUGCAGAUCUGUUUCCCCAGUCUGUUGACUUUUGACUUUGAUGCAUUUUUCUUGCCUAUAAAGUUUUAAUUUUUAUGGAGUCAAAUGCAUCAGUCUUCUAUUCAAAGACUUAUUUAUGGGUUUGGUGUUUCAGUUUAGGAUGAAAAAGAAGUUGUAGAUAUGGAUAAAGGAGAUGGUUGUACAACACAUUAUAUUGGACCACUCAACUGUACGUUUAAACAUGGUUAAAAUGGCAUGUAUCAAACCAAGAAAGCGGCUAGGAGGGCAACACAUCUACCUGUAUACAGGGAGCUAUGAAAUACGUGAGCUGCGCAAGUGAUGCACAAGGAAACGGAAGCAGUAUGACCUUUACACAGUGACCUGGCUCAAAUAAUUUCAGGCUGUCAUUAACCAGGCGAGCUCCACUUUCUCUCUGAGGUUGGGUGUUAAUCUGAUGUGGUGCUCUUGGAGAAGCUUGCUUGAGUUCGGCGCUUUCUCAGCACGUGGUGUGUGCUGCCCCUUCAAGCUGCAGGAGUCCCAGAAACUCUCCUGGCUUCUAUCCAAAGCUGUGUUCCAGGUGGGGAACACCUAUGGAUGCACCAGGGUGCAACUACUCAGAGUCCAGUGUGCAGAAGGGCCCCUGCUCUAUGCUGUUUCCGUAUCCAAGCCCAAGCUCUUCUAGAGCUUCAGCAAAUCCAAGCCUCCCUGAAUUCCCUGCAAGACCAAACUGAGCCCUACAACCCCCACCACUCUGGUUAGCUGCCAGUCCCAGCCCCUGUUCCCUCCUGGGCCCCUGUCUGUACAGUUCUGAAGUCCUACAAGAAUGUUGAGAUCCUAAGCCGACUCUCACCCAAAGAGGCUGGAAGAGGGGCUCCAGAAACUUGGGAAACCUGGGCCUGUAGCUGGCAUGUGGAAAAGAGGCCUGGAAAAGCACCAUUCCUGUCCAUGAAGCCCCCAGAUGGAACCAGAAACAUGGCCAGCUGGUCCCCUAGAAGUUUGGUAUAUGGGAUAAGCCAAGGCUUGCCUUCAGCAACAGGUUUUCCACCAC